rnacentral:rRNA from 1 species
UACGUAGGGUCCGAGCGUUGUCCGGAAUUAUUGGGCGUAAAGAGCUCGUAGGCGGUCUGUCGCGUCGGAUGUGAAAACCCAGGGCUCAACCCUGGGCCUGCAUUCGAUACGGGCAGACUAGAGUUCGGUAGGGGAGACUGGAAUUCCUGGUGUAGCGGUGAAAUGCGCAGAUAUCAGGAGGAACACCGGUGGCGAAGGCGGGUCUCUGGGCCGAAACUGACGCUGAGGAGCGAAAGCGUGGGGAGCAAACAGG